GGUUCUAUAGUGUAGUGGUCAUCACUCGAGAUUCUGAUCGUAUCAAAUUCUCGAAACCCAGGUUCGAUCCCUGGUAGGACCU
rnacentral:tRNA from 1 species